rnacentral:rRNA from 1 species
AGAAGAGGACCAGUGGAACUCCAUGUGUAGCGGUGAAAUGCGUAGAUAUAUGGAAGAACACCAGUGGCGAAGGCGGCUGUCUGGUCUGUAACUGACGCUGAGGCUCGAAAGUAUGGGUAGCAAACAGGAUUAGAUACCCUGGUAGUCCAUACCGUAAACGAUGAAUGCUAAGUGUUGGAGGGUUUCCGCCCUUCAGUGCUGCAGCUAACGCAUUAAGCAUUCCGCCUGGGGAGUACGGCCGCAAGGCUGAAACUCAAAGGAAUUGACGGGGGCCCGCACAAGCGGUGGAGCAUGUGGUUUAAUUCGAAGCUACGCGAAGAACCUUACCAGGUCUUGACAUACUAUGCAAAUCUAAGAGAUUAGACGUUCCCUUCGGGGACAUGGAUACAGGUGGUGCAUGGUUGUCGUCAGCUCGUGUCGUGAGAUGUUGGGUUAAGUCCCGCAACGAGCGCAACCCUUAUUAUCAGUUGCCAGCAUUAAGUUGGGCACUCUGGUGAGACUGCCGGUGACAAACCGGAGGAAGGUGGGGAUGACGUCAAAUCAUCAUGCACCUUAUGACCUGGGCUACACACGUGCUACAAUGGAUGGUACAACGAGUUGCGAACUCGCGAGAGUAAGCUAAUCUCUUAAAGCCAUUCUCAGUUCGGAUUGUAGGCUGCAACUCGCCUACAUGAAGUCGGAAUCGCUAGUAAUCGCGGAUCAGCAUGCCGCGGUGAAUACGUUCCCGGGCCUUGUACACACCGCCCGUCACACCAUGAGAGUUUGUAACACCCAAAGUCGGUGGGGUAACCUUUUAGGAACCAGCCGCCUAAGGUGGGACAGAUGAUUAGGGUGAAGUCGUAACAAGGUAGCCGUA